AGAAACUAAAUAAUCAUCGAGCGAAGAUUUUUUUAUUCUUCCUUAGUCCAAUCGAGAUAUGUUUUAUUGUACAAUUGAUGCGGAACGAAGGCGCUUUCCGGGGAGGUGAGGGUCGUAGACAUGAUAUUUAGAUCACCUUGAGUUGAGAAGGAAAAUAAGCUAUUCAAGUUGGUGAGAGAACGGGAUGGGAUUGGGAANNNNNNNUGAGGGGAGGUGAGGGUCGUAGACAUGAUAUUUAGAUCACCUUGAGUUGAGAAGGAAAAUAAGCUAUUCAAGUUGGUGAGAGAACGGGAUGAGAUUGGGAAUGAAUCGAUGGACUCCGGGAAACUUCGUUCCUACAUUCUGCUCUCACUUAAAGGCAUUCC
rnacentral:lncRNA from 1 species